UACAGAGGUCUCAAGCGUUGUUCGGAUUCAUUGGGCGUAAAGGGUGUGUAGGUGGCGCGCUAAGUCGGGUGUGAAAUUUCGGAGCUUAACUCCGAAACUGCAUUCGAUACUGGCGUGCUUGAGGACUGGAGAGGAGACUGGAAUUCAUGGUGUAGCAGUGAAAUGCGUAGAGAUCAUGAGGAAGACCAGUGGCGAAGGCGGGUCUCUGGACAGUUCCUGACACUGAGGUGCGAAAGCGUGGGGAGCAAACAGG
rnacentral:rRNA from 1 species